rnacentral:ncRNA from 2 species
GGUACGCGCGGCGACUGGCGUACGGGGAAGCGACCCCGGGGAAGCCGUGCGCGGCAGAUCACACGAGGGUGCCGCCCGCCUGGGCACCCGGA